UAUCUUUCCCUUUUUAAAAUUCCUCUCUUCGGGGACAGAGAUCAAAUGGUUUGCUAAUAUAAUGUGAGAUGCUGCCUGACCUGCCAAGUUCCUCCAGCAACUUGAUUUUUGCUCCACGUUCCAGGAUCUGAAGUCUGUCUCCCCAUUUCUCUUUCCGUAUUCUGAUAAGGCCAAUGGACGAUUUGCAAAACUGAUCAAUUUAUUGACCACCAGCAAACAGCAUACAAAUGGAACAAUCAAUGGGGAGCAGAUCCUACAAGCUUGUUCAUUGAAGUUGUGUGUGAUACCAAGAAAGAAGCCAUUAGCAGGGGGUUAAUACCACAGCGGACAACUUGAACCUCAGAAUUUGGCUAAAGCUGCUCAAGACUUCCAGCUACCUUUCAGCCCAUUUCAGCACAAUGAGCUCAACAAACCUGCAAGCACCUGAUUCCUUCAAGAGAGCAGAAGCGAAGACUUUUGCCCCUGUUGUUUAGGAUCUGUGCAACUUCACUUUCACAGGGAAGUUAUCAAUUAUACUUUGGACAAAGUUUGGUGUCACUCUGUAUGCUGUAAUUGCUUUGUAUGUGUAUGUGCACAAAUUUGUGUAAAUGUCACAUCUUGCACAAUGUAAGGUACAAGAUCCUGAUCUUGUUUUACAAAUGAUUUUGAACUGCAAUACAACCAUUAAAAAGUAAGCACUAUUCAUUUGAAUUUCUAGACCAUUAAGCAUCUUUGGUUUCAUAAAAAGGAGCUGCAAACUAUUUUUGGA